rnacentral:lncRNA from 1 species
CACUGGCGGGCGGGUUGGCGGUGGUUCUGUUUUGUCCAGGAAGACUUUAGGGGAUGCACCGGGAGAUGUGGCCACCUGCAGCGUCGCGCCUGAGACGCCCUUCCCUGGAGCUGCGUGGUCCCCUCUGAGACUCCCUGCCCUGCCCUCCCUUUGUCUUGCUUACUGUUCUCUCGUGGAAGGCCCAGUCCACGAGAUGAGGCGGGAUAAGGACAGACAGCCGCCGCCCCGUGAUCACCGUCGCGCUGCGCAGGGAGGCCGAGGCCCGGGUCGGGUCGGCUGCGCCGCCUUGGAACCGGGAAGCACCUUCGGGAUGAAGCAGCCGCGACCCGAGCUGUCUUCCGACGGGCCCGCUGCGGCACCGCGCCUGUCCUCGGAGCCCGGCCCCGCCGGCCGCGAUUCUGUUCCAGCAACGCCGGGAGCUGGAGCCCCGCGCGGGAAUCCAAAGCAGAUCCGGCCCCUCUCCUGUUUUCUGUCCUUUCUGUCCCGGGCGCAGCUCCCACCCCAGGGCUUUGCCAUUUACCAGCACCGUGGAAACUGGGCUCUUCCCGUGGCUCAGGGCUGCCUUUCCUGACCCUUUGUGCCCCACUCGGCUCUUCCUCAAGGAGGAUGGUGUGUCUCCGGGGCCUGGUCGGCCCCCCAGGCUCCAGCCCCGACCCAGUCCCCAGGGCACAGCAGCAGAGCUGAAUAAAGGCGGUGCCGUGCUGAUUGCUGCACUGUUCUGUGCGCUGAUUCCUGCCUGGGUUCCGUGUAGUCCUCCCACCCAGCCAGGGGCAGUCGCGGGUGCGGGAGGGAGCUGGAGGCCAGGAGGCUGCUGAAGGGGCUGCACGGCCUCCCCUCCCCUCCCAGGCUCAUGGGCAGCUUAGGUGGGGACCUGGCAUCUGUGGGGUUAUGGACACUCGGCGGACUGUAAGAGGCCAGGCAGGAGCUAAAGGGACAGAUUG